GCUUGCCAAUUUCAGCUGGAUCAAGAAGAGAUGAGUCUGUUCUGCUUUCCUCUGGAUCUUCAUCAUCAUUAGACGAGUAGUCUGAGAUAUCAGCCGGAGACAAAAAAUAAGAGGAUAUUGUUAGUAAGGGAGACAUGUGAAGACAAUGUUUUUUUGUUGACAACAGUAGAGAGAAGACAGGAAAAUAUUUUUGGAGAGAAAGGAGGAAUGGAAUUAGACACGUCACAAUCCAGACUCAAACCUCAAUAACCUACAUGAGCACCAAGGCUCAAGAUCUGGAGCAAGUGUGCGAACUGCACUUUUGUAUAAUUUUUUUUACAUAAAUGUAUUGUGACAAGGAGGAGGGCGUGGCCGGGCUUUCACGCUGCACGGCCGGUGCUGAAUCAGCUGAUCAGCGGGAGAGCGAGAUAAAGCUGGUUACCGCCUCCUCCUUGCCCACCUUUACCUGUUACAGUGGUGCCGAAACCCGGGAGGGAGGAGGGAUGCGCUGUUGUGGAGUCAUCGCCGCUGCCAUCCGCCAGGAGGGCUGGUUGAUCAGAUCGGUGGUGCCCCGGCCUGAAUCGGGCAGGGGAGGAGUGUGACAAGGAGGAGGGUGUGGCUGGCCGUGUCGAUGCACGGCCGGCGCUGAAUCAGCUGACCAGCGGGAAAGUGAGAUAAAGGGGAACCGGAGGUGCUGGUUCGGGAGAGAGAGAGAUGCACGCGGCCACGUUGCAUGUGUGUCUAUGUCCUUAUGUUUUAUGUUGUUUUAAGUUCAUUUAUAUCAUUAAAGAUUAUGUUUACUGUUUAGCCGGUUCCCGCCUCCUCCUUGCCCACCUUUACCUGUUACAGAUCAAUGGCAGUGGCCAACACACAUGCAGCUUCUCAGCUGGGCUCUCUCUCUCUCUUUCGGUGGACUGGGCCGUCUUUUAUCUCCCCCGACUCUCACUGUGAACUUGGAAACGGUAAUUAGUCACAAUUCAUCUCAGGUGGAUGUCCUUACCGUU